rnacentral:lncRNA from 1 species
GGGAACCGGGAACCGGGACAGCCGGGGAACGGGGAACCGGGAACCGGGACAGCCGGGGAACGGGGGAGCCGGGGAACGGGAGAUGACCGGGGAACGGAGACAGCCGGGGAACGGGAGAUGACCGGGGAACUGGGAGAUGACCGGGGAACGGGAGAUGACCGGGAACCGGGACAGCCGGGGAACCGGGAACCGGGAACCGGGACAGCCGGGGAACGGGACAGCCGGAGAACGGGACACAACCGGGGAACCGGGACAGCCGGGGAAUGGAGACAGCCGGGGAACUGGGACAGCCGGAGAAUGGGACACAACUGGGGAACCGGAGACAACCGGGGACUGGGAGACGACCGGGGAACGGGACAGCCGGGGAACGGGACAGCCGGAGAACGGGACACAACCGGGGAACCGGGACAGCCGGGGAACCGGGACAGCCGGGGGGAUGGAGACAGCCGGGGAAUGGAGACAGCCGGGGAACCGGGACAGCCGGGAACCGGGAGACGACCGGGGAACGGGACAGCCGGGGAAUGGAGACAACCGGGGAAUGGAGAUAACCGGGGAAUGGAGACAGCCGGGAAGGGGGAGGUGACCGGGAACCGGGACAGCCGGGGAACCGGGAGAUGACCGGGGAACAGAGACAGCCGGGAACCAGAGACAACCGGGGAAUGGGAAACAACCGGGGGAACGGGAACAGACAACCGGCGGGAACAGGAGACAACCGGGGGAACGGGAAUAGACAACCGGCGGGAACAGGAGACAACCGGCGGGAACAGGAGACAACCGGCGGGAGCGGAAUCGAUCUGGUUUGACUGGAACCAACCCGGUGUGACCGGGAAAAGACAACCGGGGGGAACGGGAAUAGACAACCGGUGUUACCGGGAAUCGACCCGGUUUUACCGGAACCGCCCCGGUUUUAGCGGGAAUCGACCCGGUUUUACCGGAACCGACCCGGUUUUACCGGAACCACCCCGGUUUUACCGCGGAGCCGCCCCAGGGGUACCGGGCAGCGUGGCGGGGGUAGCGGGCCGCAUGGCGAGGGGACACCGGGAGGGUUCGGAUCGCGUCGGUUCCGGUACCGGGGAAAGGCCGGGAUGAGUUCGGUUUUUUGGUUCGGUACCGGGGAAUGCUCGCUUUGGGCACUGCUCGCUCUCGGGAUUUGC